CCUACGGGAGGCAGCAGUGAGGAAUAUUGGUCAAUGGCCGGAAGGCUGAACCAGCCAAGCCGCGUGAAGGACGAAGGUGCCAAGCAUUGUAAACUUCUUUUGCCAAGGGACAAAAUCAGGCUCGAGAGCCUGACCGAGGGUACGUGAAGAAAAAGCAACGGAUAACUCCGUGCCAGCAGCCGCGGUAAUACGGAGGAUGCGACCUUAAUCCGGAUUUAUUGGGGUGAAAGGGGGCGUGGGGGGACGGUUAAGUAAGCGGUAAAAGCCCGGGGUUCAACCCCGGCGAGCCGUUGCAACUGGCUGUCUUGAGAUGUCGAGAGGUAGGCGGAAUGCGCAGUGUAGCGGUGAAAUGCUUAGAUAUUGCGCAGAACUCCGAUGGCGAAGGCAGCAUACCGGCGGCGAUCUGACGCUGAGGCACGAAAGCGUGGGUAUCGAACAGGAUUAGAUACCCGGGUAGUC
rnacentral:rRNA from 1 species